rnacentral:piRNA from 1 species
UUCUAUGGACAGAAAGGAAAGCAGAUGGU